rnacentral:rRNA from 1 species
UACGUAGGUGGCAAGCGUUGUUCGGAAUUAUUGGGCGUAAAGGGCGCGUAGGCGGUUUGUUAAGCCAGAUGUGAAAGCCCCGGGCUCAACCUGGGAAUGGCAUUUGGGACUGCAAGGCUGGAGUUUGGCAGAGGAGACUGGAAUUCCUGGUGUAGCAGUGAAAUGCGUAGAUAUCAGGAGGAACACCGAUGGCGAAGGCAGGUCUCUGGGCUGAAACUGACGCUCAAGCACGAAAGCGUGGGGAGCAAACAGG